CACAGAACAGCCGAAAGCAAAUGUGAGGGGAACACAGAAGUUAGAAUAGUUUAACCGUAUUAUUUAUGCGAACCAAAGUGUGUGUGAGCGUAUGUAACAUUUGCCGAACGGCAAAACAACCGAAUGAACAUUCGUUUAAAUAACAUGAAUAGGAUAUGCGAAAUGACUAUUGAACGAUUGAAAACAUGUUCAGCCGAAUGACCG